rnacentral:rRNA from 1 species
UACGUAGGUCCCGAGCGUUGUCCGGAUUUAUUGGGCGUAAAGCGAGCGCAGGUGGUUUAUUAAAUCUGGUGUAAAAGGCAGUGGCUCAACCAUUGUAUGCAUUGGAAACUGGUAGACUUGAGUGCAGGAGAGGAGAGUGGAAUUCCAUGUGUAGCGGUGAAAUGCGUAGAUAUAUGGAGGAACACCGGUGGCGAAAGCGGCUCUCUGGCCUGUAACUGACAUUGAGGCUCGAAAGCGUGGGGAGCAAACAGG